rnacentral:rRNA from 1 species
ACGCACGCUGGCGGCGUGCUUAACACCUGCCAGUCGCACGGAAAGGCCCAGCUUGCUGGGUACUCGAGUGGCGAACGGGUGAGUAACACGUGGGUGAUCUGCCCUGCACUCUGGGAUAAGCCUGGGAAACUGGGUCUAAUACCGGAUAUGACCGACUGUCGCAUGGUGGUUGGUGGAAAGCUUUUGCGGUGUGGGAUGGGCCCGCGGCCUAUCAGCUUGUUGGUGGGGUAAUGGCCUACCAAGGCGACGACGGGUAGCCGACCUGAGAGGGUGAUCGGCCACACUGGGACUGAGACACGGCCCAGACUCCUACGGGAGGCAGCAGUGGGGAAUAUUGCACAAUGGGCGCAAGCCUGAUGCAGCGACGCCGCGUGAGGGAUGACGGCCUUCGGGUUGUAAACCUCUUUCACCAGGGACGAAGCGUGAGUGACGGUACCUGGAGAAGAAGCACCGGCCAACUACGUG